CUCCACCGGCAUCCCGUAUAAAGUCUUCUCCCGGGUCUCUGUCCUCGGGUCUGAUCCAGAGGCUUAGUCCGGCGGAUCCACUGACCUGAACCCGUAGGUCAGAGUAGAGAGGGGCAUAGACGAGGAGGGAAAUAACCCCUGCCUGCGACCACAGUUGAGAGCCUUGCGUUUAUGGGUCAGCGAGGACGUGUGGUUUAUUGAUGCAUCCGAAGGCGUUUGAGCUACGAGGCAUAAGGCAGCGUUUGGAGACACGGGAGGCUGGCAGGCAGGUAGUUGGUCGCAGGGGUCCAAGUAGACGCAGAAGCCGCCGGCCUACAGGCAGAGGGAGUUGUUGGGUAGCACACACAGGUCUCUAGCGUUUGCCUGCCUUGAGGACCACUAUGUUUAAAAGGCAAUCAAAAUUACGAACCGUCAUUCUAGAGGAGAGAAUGGUAACAGCAGCUGUCAUAGGAGUACCGUAAACUGCCUGAAGUAAGCCACAGCUCUAGGUUUUAGAAGUAGAUAUAAAUAUUUCAGAAUUGCUUCUCCUGUUGUCUGUGGCCUUCUUGAGGAAGAAUCAUCAAAUCACUUUUCUAUUUUCAUCCUUCUUUCAUUUUUCCAAGCCCUAGCAAGAAUUAAAGAAUGAAUGAAGCUGAUUUCCCCCCCCCCCCUUUUUUUUUUAUAGUUAGUUUUGCUAUCAAGCUCUUAUUUUCUAGUGACUUGGGUGCUGAUGGAGAUACUUGGUUUUUAAACAGAUUGAAAUUAAAUGAAAAGGGCUUGAAAAAUUAGUCGGUAAUUGUACUGUAUUAAAAUCCUAUUGAAGUAAUAGACUGUCUCUGUGUGAGAAACAACUUGAGUUGUAGUAGUAGUCCAACAGCUCAACCCUGCUAACAGUUAUAAUGCAUUAAAAAUGAGCUGAAAAUAGGAGAUGCAGCUAUGUUGUGUUCCAGUUACUUUCUAAGGUUAUGUAACUUUCAGUGGCAAUACACUUCAUAUUGCUUCGAGCACCUGGAGGUGUGGUGGGAAUGGCACCUUUCUUGGGAUUUACCCUAUGUAUUUUCAUCCAAGUUCUCUCCAGGUGUGCUUAGGAAAGCGCAUAUAAUCACUUCUGUGUGGUGUCAUCAGUUGCGUGUACUAAUAAUAUUUUCUCAAAUAAGUUUUUGUGACCAUGAAGUACAUGUUUUAAAACAGUAGUUAGGUGGAUGACAAAGGUAGAUGCAUAACCCCAUGCAAGACCCAGAGGUAGCUGAACCAUUUCUGUCUUUGUUUCGAUGCCAAAGAAUCUCUCCAGACAUUUAAUUUUGUUCAAAGUCUUAUAUAUCCUUAACACCAGAAUAAAAAUUUUUUUUAACUAAUUCUUUAUUUUCCUUGCCAGGAGCUGCCGCAGGGAAAAAUGCAGAUUACUUAAAAUAGUAGCAAAUUAAUUCGAGGUUAAUCAUCUCGGCAUAAACUGUGUUAUCUUAACCAUGGAUGAAAGCAUGCACUGUUACUGCAGCAUAGCUGGGGCUUUUAAAAUUUAAAUUCCUAAGGCAAAGAAUGGAAGAAUUAUCUUGAAAUUGAAUAAAUACUUAUAUCCAUGAGGGAAGAAAAGUUUUUCUUAAGUUUUAUAAAAAAAAUACCCAGAAAUAUUGAGGUGCUUGGACUUGGUGUUUUAUAGAUGUGGUAGGUAUACAUAGACUUUUAAUAGAUUGAAAAUAUAGCCCAAGUUUUUGCUAACUGAAUCGCAACCGCUGAAAAAUAUAAUUUAGCUUCAGUUAAUAUGGUUAUGAAGAUGUCAAAAGCUAACUCUUUGGAAAUGUGUGACUGCUGUGGAAGAAAACGGCAAAUUCAUGGAUGGAUAUGUUUAAUGUGUUCUGUUGGCUAAAUAUCAGGCAGUUGCAAAGAGAGAAAAGGUAGUAUGAGGCACUAAGGCUGGAACGUAUACAGAAAAAUCAAACUUGCCCUUACCAGUGUAAGCAAAUGAUUGUGUGGAACUUUGUGAUAAUAAAGGAACAAGUAAAGGUAUUGUAAAAUAAAAGAUAACCAGACAUAGUGUUUUAUAAAUAUUCUGUGAAUUCUGAUAUGUGCAGUGUGUUUUCUUCUGUUUUGUGAACUUCUUACUUUUUCCAGUGUAUGUAAUACUCUUAAAAUACCUUGUCUAUAUAGUUAAUGUUUGUUGGUUGUUUUUUUUUUUUUCCUUCAGUAAGCCCCUUAGUAAUCCUGGAUUGCCCUAUUUGAGGAGGGUUGAUCCAAUCAAAGGUGAGAUAGGACAGCUAGAUGAUGGCUGACAGCAGCAGUUUCUGGUUUGCCCUCCUCCUUCCCAAACAGUGAUUUCAUACUUACUCUCAAGUUUUUCUGAAGCACAGUUGGAAGAAUACAGAUAGAUUCCACAUCCCUUUUUGUUUUCACUGGUAUAAAAGAAGUUAUCUUAAAUGAAAACCCUUUAUCUGAUCCCUAGGUUGGCUAAUUACCUUGGAAAAAUACUGUUCUGAUUUCCUGAAAUGUCCUCUGCCUCUAACCCCCAGCUUUUUGAUAGUUUUAAUGUCAACUCUGUGCUUAAGAGAUUUUAAAUCUUACAGAAAAGCAGUGUUUCCUCAUACAGAUGAGUUUGAUCUAUUGUAAAUAAAUGCCUGUGAACUCAUUUAAAAAAAAAGGAAAAA